CUAACAGGUACCCGAUAGGCCUAUUUACAAAGGAAACUCUAGCAAAUUUUUUGGAAAUUCUAAUAGCUAGUCAAUUGCCUUUUGGAUAGCGGAAGUUGGUGGUUGGAAAGAUAAAAGCUAUACUCCCGCAAGUAGUGUCAUUUGGGAACCUGCAUACCAUCGUAGCUAGCAAGCACUAAGGCUUCGAUCCUCCUGAUAGCAGACGUCCACGUUAGGCUCUUUUGUCAUUCCCAGCUGGUAGUUUGGUGAGCUCCAACUCUCUCUGGAGCCAGUUUAUGCCUACUAUUUUUUAUUGUGUACAGAUCUCUGGUUAGGCAUGACGGGCUUAAUGUCAACUAGUCAUUUGUAGUAUAGUGUAUUAAACUGACUAGAGGCUUCACUGACAUCGUGUAGUAUUGUAUAGUUUUAUUAAUGUAGCUC